rnacentral:rRNA from 1 species
CCUACGGGAGGCAGCAGUAAGGAAUAUUGGUCAAUGGACGCAAGUCUGAACCAGCCAUGCCGCGUGAAGGAUUAAGGUCCUCUGGAUUGUAAACUUCUUUUAUCUGGGACGAAAAAAGGCGAUUCUUCGUCACUUGACGGUACCAGAUGAAUAAGCACCGGCUAACUCCGUGCCAGCAGCCGCGGUAAUACGGAGGGUGCAAGCGUUAUCCGGAUUCACUGGGUUUAAAGGGUGCGUAGGCGGGCAGGUAAGUCAGUGGUGAAAUCCUAGAGCUUAACUCUAGAACUGCCAUUGAUACUAUCUGUCUUGAAUAUUGUGGAGGUAAGCGGAAUAUGUCAUGUAGCGGUGAAAUGCUUAGAUAUGACAUAGAACACCUAUUGCGAAGGCAGCUUACUACGCAUAUAUUGACGCUGAGGCACGAAAGCGUGGGGAUCAAACAGGAUUAGAUACCCUGGUAGUCCACGCCCUAAACGAUGAUUACUCGACAUUUGUGAUACACUAUAAGUGUNUGAGAGAAGACAUAAGUAAUACACCAGGAGUACGACCGACGAGUAGAACGUACGAAAGAAGUAGACGACGUAGAGACGAGCGACGGACGACGACGAGGGGAGGAGG